CCUACGGGAGGCAGCAGUGGGGAAUAUUGCUCAAUGGGGGAAACCCUGAAGCAGCAACGCCGCGUGAAGGAUGAAGGCUUUAGGAGUGUUAACUUCUUUUUGUAGGGAAGAAUAUGACGGUAUCUAACUAAUAAGCAACGGCGAACUACGUGCCAGCAGCCGCAGUAAUACGUAGGGAGCAAGCGUUAUCCGGAUUUACUGGGCGUAAAGGGGGCGUAGGCGGGUUAACAAGUCAGAUGUGAAAUCCUGGGGCUUAACUCCGGAACUGCCUUUGAAACUGUUAAUCUAGAGUGGAGGAGAGGUAGGUGGAAUUCGUGGUGUAGCGGUGAAAUGCGUAGAGAUCAGGAGGAACACCGAUUGCGAAGGCGGCUUACUGGACUGUAACUGACGCUGAGGCACGAAAGCGUGGGGAGCAAACAGGAUUAGAUACCCUUGUAGUC
rnacentral:rRNA from 1 species